rnacentral:rRNA from 1 species
AUUGAACGCUGGCGGCAGGCCUAACACAUGCAAGUCGAACGGUAACAGGAAACAGCUUGCUGUUUCGCUGACGAGUGGCGGACGGGUGAGUAAUGUCUGGGAAACUGCCUGAUGGAGGGGGAUAACUACUGGAAACGGUAGCUAAUACCGCAUAACGUCGCAAGACCAAAGAGGGGGACCCUCGGGCCUCUUGCCAUCGGAUGUGCCCAGAUGGGAUUAGCUUGUUGGUGGGGUAACGGCUCACCAAGGCGACGAUCCCUAGCUGGUCUGAGAGGAUGACCAGCCACACGGGAACUGAGACACGGUCCAGACUCCUACGGGAGGCAGCAGUGGGGAAUAUUGCACAAUGGGCGCAAGCCUGAUGCAGCCAUGCCGCGUGUAUGAAGAAGGCCUUCGGGUUGUAAAGUACUUUCAGCGGGGAGGAAGGGAGUAAAGUUAAUACCUUUGCUCAUUGACGUUACCCGCAGAAGAAGCACCGGCUAACUCCGUG